UUGAAUCAAUUUAAUUUGAAAUUAAAAUUUUAUUGGUAAUUAUAGGUUUAUUUAUAUUAUAAGAAAUAAUUUUUUAUUGAUUAUUAUAAAGAAAAAUUUAAUUUAAUUAUAGAUUAUAGUAUUGUGAAAGAAUAAUUUUAAUUAAGUGAAAGAAAAUUUUAUUUUUUGUACCUUGUGCAUCAGGGUUUAUCAAUUAUAGUUUUAAUAUUAAAUUAUCUCGAAUUUAAAAGAGCUAAAAAUUUACAAUUGUUAUUAUAAAAUAACUAUAUUUAAUAAAUUUUUAGUAAUGAAAUGUUAUUCGUUUUUAAAUAUAUCUAGUUUUUUAAGAAAUAAAUAUAAUUUAUUUAUUAUAAAUAUUAAACUUAUUAUUUAGUUUAAUAUUAUUAAUAUUUAAUAUUUUUAGGGAUGAGCUUAAAAAUAAAUUUUUAUUAAAAAUUUAAAAUUUAAAAUAUUUUAGGAUUAUAAAUUUUCAUAAUUUUAAGUAUGUUAUAAUUUAUUUUUAAUUAUUUUUAAUUUUUAUUUUUUAUAAAUUUUUUAUUAAAAUAUAUUUUAAAAUAGAAAAAAAUUAGGAAUAAUGAUAAAAUUAGUAUAAAUUAUUAUAAAAAUAAUUAUUAUUUUUAGGUUUAUAAAAGGAAUUCGGCAAAUUAUUUUUCACCUGUUUAUUAAAAACAUGUCCUUUUGUUAAAAAUUUAAGGUCUAACCUGCCCACUGAUUAUUUGAAUGGCCGCGGUAUUUUGACUGUGCUAAGGUAGCAUAAUCAUUAGUUUUUUAAUUAAAAGCUGGAAUGAAGGGUUGAAUGAAAAAAUAACUGUCUCUUAUAAAAUUUAUUAGAAUUUUAUUUUUAAGUUAAAAAGCUUAAAUAAGUUUAAAAGACGAGAAGACCCUAUAGAGUUUAAUAUAAAUAAGUUUUUAAAGGUUAAGGAUUUAAUUUUUAAUUAUAGUAUUAUAUUUAAUUGGGGUGAUUAAAAAAUUUAGUGAACUUUUUUUUUAUUUUAAUAUAGAUUAAUAAGUAUUUGAUCCAAUUUUUUUGAUUAUAAGAAUAAAUUACCUUAGGGAUAACAGCGUAAUUAUAUUGGAGAGUUCUAAUCGAUAAUAUAGAUUGCGACCUCGAUGUUGGAUUAAAAUUUAUUUUUGGUGUAGCAGUUAAAAAAUUAAGUCUGUUCGACUUUUAAAAUUUUACAUGAUCUGAGUUUAAACCGGUGUGAGCCAGGUUGGUUUCUAUCUUUAAAUAAAUAAUUUAUUUUAGUACGAAAGGACCAAUUAAA
rnacentral:rRNA from 1 species